CGGCCUAUGACUGAUUGAGCCCGGACCAGACAGAUCCAUCGACACAAAACUCCAUCAACGAUCCAUGUCACCAUGAUACCACACAACCAGCAACAUCACAGGGCGUGCGUGGUCACCGUGUAUGUCUCUAACGACAUGCGCCGUGUUACUGGGAACCUAUUCUUCUCUGGAAUCCCGUGGGUCUGCCCUCGAAUGUAUAUAAGGGAUUACAUGGCAGAUAAUCCUCACUACGGCUGCAUUACCUCCACACCCAGGGGACAGUGUGCACGACACACGACGAUUAUAGAUUGUACGGCGGUCCGACUUUUUCCAUAGUGAUCGUACCGAACAAUAGCGAAUAACACCCACUAAGGUGUUUAAACGUUGUUGCUCUGAUGAUAUUCACGAGUAAAACAACCAUACUCACCAGUCUCGUCUUUAUGGACGUGCAGUACCUUCGUCCGAGCACAACCAUACAACGAACAGAGAUGAUCCGAAUGUUACGUCUGGCUGUCUGGUCAUGUGUCGCUAAACACCAUGGGUACGCCGCGAUACAGACUCUGCAUGAUGGCAAGUCUAAUUUCUUCAACAGUUUUGUCCCCAUCAUUGUCCAAAUUCAACUGUAAUUGGUUCACGUGAUCUUUAUAAAACACCACGUAAACAUCAUGUGAGAGAAAUAAAUUUCAAGAGCCCGAGAAGAUUUACGUGUGCUUCUGAUGAGGACAGUAGAAGUCUUCACGCUGUACAGGAGUCCAUGACACAGCACAGCGGAGUAUUGGAUUGCCACGGAGCCGAUUUGAUUCAAUACAGUCAAUACAUGCAGGUGUACAACUUGCAAUCCAAUGUCCGCGUGAACCGGCCUCCUCGCCUCACCUGCAGUAACACCAGGAGAAAUCCCUUCCUUAAUAUGACGCUUAUCGAGGAAUGGUUUCCAUACAUCGAGUGAAUAAGAGUUCAUGUUCAUUGGGUCAACAAAUUAAUUCGAACAGUAUUUAGCUGUAAGACAUUGGUUCAGUGGUACCGAAGUGGUACAUGAUGUUGACCGAUCGAAACUCAUAAUCGAGGCGUAUCUGGUACUUGAACCCACGACCAUCAGAUCUUGACACGACCAAGGGAAGUGUUUAAUCGAGAUACUUGUGCCGGAACAUACAUGGGGUAUGUUGCUAUUCCCGACAUCGAGCUCCGGGCUUACGCGGUGUUCAUACGGUUUGUAAAUAAAAGAAAUCUCUUUUAGAACACUACUUAACAACCAUUACUAUACUGGAAUAAAGUAACUGUGCAUUA